UACGGAGGAUGCAAGCGUUAUCCGGAUUUAUUGGGUUUAAAGGGUGCGUAGGCGGACUAUUAAGUCAGUGGUGAAAGCCUGCAGCUUAACUGCAGAACUGCCAUUGAUACUGAUAGUCUUGAGUUUGGUUAAGGUAGGCGGAAUGUGUAAUGUAGCGGUGAAAUGCUUAGAUAUUACACAGAACACCAAUUGCGUAGGCAGCUUACUGAGCCGACACUGACGCUGAGGCACGAAAGCGUGGGGAUCGAACAGGA
rnacentral:rRNA from 1 species